rnacentral:rRNA from 1 species
UAAGGGCGCACGGUGGAUGCCUUGGCACUAGAAGCCGAUGAAGGACGUUACUAACGACGAUAUGCUUUGGGGAGCUGUAAGUAAGCUUUGAUCCAGAGAUUUCCGAAUGGGGAAACCCAGCAUGAGUUAUGUCAUGUUAUCGAUAUGUGAAUACAUAGCAUAUCAGAAGGCACACCCGGAGAACUGAAACAUCUUAGUACCCGGAGGAAGAGAAAGAAAAUUCGAUUCCCUUAGUAGCGGCGAGCGAAACGGGAAGAGCCCAAACCAACAAGCUUGCUUGUUGGGGUUGUAGGACACUCUAUACGGAGUUACAAAGGACGACAUUAGACGAAUCAUCUGGAAAGAUGAAUCAAAGAAGGUAAUAAUCCUGUAGUCG